rnacentral:rRNA from 1 species
UACAGAGGUCCCAAGCGUUGUUCGGAUUCACUGGGCGUAAAGGGUGCGUAGGUGGUCGGGUAAGUCUGAGGUGAAAUCUCCGAGCUCAACUCGGAAACUGCCUUGGAUACUAUCCGGCUUGAGGGUUGGAGGGGGGACUGGAAUUCUCGGUGUAGCGGUGAAAUGCGCAGAUAUCAGGAGGAACACCGGUGGCGAAGGCGGAUCUCUGGGCCUUACCUGACGCUGAGGCGCGAAAGCUAGGGGAGCAAACAGG